UUAUCCUCAAAUGGGAAGAAAUGACGCGAAUGUUUUGGUACGUGUAUACGUAAAAUAGAAUACAGUAUAAAUACUUGGCUAACAUCUAAAUGUAUUUCAAUUAUACUUGUAACUUUAUUUUUUUAAUUAUUAUACUUAACUCUACCCUGCGCAACUUCAUUUCUUGUCCUGCUGCAAAUCUAGAUCCAAGAAAAUGCAGGAAACCCACCUCCCAAAUUAUAAUCCUUUAAGGUUUACUAGAUAGACUUAAUUGAAGUGUUUUCUGGCUUGCUGUAUCAUCUUUUAGCAGUCAGAGAAAAAUAUCUUGUCUAAAAAGUCAUUAAUAAGAACAGCUGAAUGUGGUGGUUUUUGAAACCGUUUUCUUGCUUUUGAUUGAUGUAUACUGGUGCAAAAAUCUUAAUCGGAUGAUCAAAAAACCCCUGUGUGAGGUUUUUGGAGAGAAAUCAAGUGCAUGAUGUGAUUUAGAACGAAUAUCUUGUGAUCUGUAACUAUCAACUAUAAAGCCAUGUCGAUAUUUGUAGCUAGAAAAUAGAACCCCGGACUGGGUGGGAUAAUUCUAUCUUGUGGUGAGAAAACGUGAGGAACUGCUGAAUGUUGCUAUUAGUUUAUUAAUACUUUUUUUUUUUUGAUAUUUUACGACUCUGUUACAUGUGGUCUGAUGAACUGGAAUUCUCCCUGUUUAAGAUCACAACUGUCUUUUGCUUCCAUAUGCAUACAAUGGAUUAUUUUCUCACAUUCUGUGAUUUGAUAUUUUGCUGGUUCAUGAAGUUGCAUUACUAUUUUUUCUUCUGCAUCCCCACCCCGCCAUUGUGAUCAAAGCAGCCAAAAUUAGUUUCCUAAAUUUUUUAUCCUUGCAAUGCAUUCUUGCUAAUGUCUUGUGUGUGUUGUGUUACUGUCGAAGUGAAAGAAAUGACUAAAAAUGUAAAAUAAUGAGAAGUACUUGGUCCAGAAGAAAUUAUACAUCUAAUGGUUAGCAACGAGAAGAAAACCAAAUCAAGUCCAGAAGCUAUAUAGUUUAAAGAGUUCCUUCACAUGUACGUAUUGUUCUAUAUUUGAAAUACAUAACAAACAGAAUUUGAAAGCACUGGAGAAGAAAGUAGUCUUACAAGUUAUUUGUUACUCUAUUGUUUUGAUAUAAGCUUUUUCCCGCUUUCUUUUGCAGUAUUAUUUGUCCCUUCAGUUGAAAAAGGACAAACUAGGCUUUCAAUGUAGAUUUCCAAAUCAUGAUUGCUUUCACGGUUAGUAACAUUUGUAUAUCUGAGUGAGUCAUCUUUUGAAUUGUAUAUCAGGAAAGGUUACCAAGAACAACAUUUCACCUUUAUUUGACACAAAAAGAG
rnacentral:lncRNA from 1 species